rnacentral:rRNA from 1 species
GACGAACGCUGGCGGCGUGCUUAACACAUGCAAGUCGAACGGAAAGGCCCUGCUUUUGUGGGGUGCUCGAGUGGCGAACGGGUGAGUAACACGUGAGUAACCUGCCCUUGACUUUGGGAUAACUUCAGGAAACUGGGGCUAAUACCGGAUAGGAGCUCCUGCUGCAUGGUGGGGGUUGGAAAGUUUCGGCGGUUGGGGAUGGACUCGCGGCUUAUCAGCUUGUUGGUGGGGUAGUGGCUUACCAAGGCUUUGACGGGUAGCCGGCCUGAGAGGGUGACCGGCCACAUUGGGCCUGAGAUACGGCCCAGACUCCUACGGGAGGCAGCAGUGGGGAAUACUGCACAAUGGGCGGAAGCCUGAUGCAGCAACGCCGCGUGCGGGAUGACGGCCUUCGGGUUGUAAACCGCUUUCGCCUGUGACGAAGCGUGAGUGACGGUAAUGGGUAAAGAAGCACCGGCUAACUACGUG